UACGGAGGGCGCAAGCGUUGCUCGGAAUCACUGGGCGUAAAGCGCACGCAGGCGGCUUGAAAAGUCGGAUGUGAAAUCCCCAGGCUCAACCUGGGAACUGCAUUCGAAACUGCCAAGCUUGAGUACGGGAGAGGGAAGCGGAAUUCCUGGUGUAGAGGUGAAAUUCGUAGAUAUCAGGAGGAACACCGGUGGCGAAGGCGGCUUCCUGGCCCGAUACUGACGCUCAUGUGCGAAAGCGUGGGGAGCAAACAGG
rnacentral:rRNA from 1 species